GAAUUUUGGGCAAUGGGCGAAAGCCUGACCCAGCAACGCCGCGUGAAGGAUGAAAUCCCUCGGGAUGUAAACUUCGCAAGAACGGGAAGAAUAAGCCGGUGUUAACACCAUCGGUGAUGACGGUACUGUUUGUAAGCUCCGGCUAACUCCGUGCCAGCAGCCGCGGUAAUACGGGGGGAGCAAGCGUUGUUCGGAUUUACUGGGCGUAAAGGGCGCGUAGGCGGCCUCUGCAAGUCGACUGUGAAAUCUCCGGGCUUAACCCGGAACGGUCAGCCGAUACUGCAGGGCUAGAGUGCAGAAGGGGCAACUGGAAUUCUCGGUGUAGCGGUGAAAUGCGUAGAUAUCGAGAGGAACACCUGCGGCGAAGGCGGGUUGCUGGGCUGACACUGACGCUGAGGCGCGAAAGCUAGGGGAGCGAACGGG
rnacentral:rRNA from 1 species